UCAUAAUGAUGAUUUCACUUAUACCUAUAUGUUUUUUUCUGGCAUCUCUAAUGUUAGGAUGCGAAGUUUAAGUACUCUCCAUUCAAUGAAUACAAUUUUUGACAAUAUCUGAUU
rfam:Saccharomyces cerevisiae Ygr039wp (YGR039W), Kss1 (KSS1), Bud9p (BTD9), Ygr042wp (YGR042W), Ygr043cp (YGR043C), and Rme1p (RME1) genes, complete cds; YGR045C pseudogene, complete sequence; Ygr046wp (YGR046W), Tfc4p (TFC4), Tfd1p (TFD1), and